UACAUACAAAUUGAAUAUGAGAUUUCUCACCAGUACGGGUCAUUGCUUCCAGGUUCUGUACAUCCAAAUAAGAUCAUAUGAUGUAUCCUGUCCAUUGUGGCAUUUGGUUCAAAGCCCACUGACAAAAAAGAGUUGGUAAUGAGCCUAAGUGAUAACUAUAAAGCGGGAUGGAAUUGCCGGGAUAUCCAGAUGUUGG